UGGUGCAGCUUUCCUCUGUGAGCCUAGAAUCUUCUGAUGUGGUUGAGCAAUCUUCUUCCCUUUCUUUAUAGCACUUUUCUAUUGUGGUGGUCCUUUUGUUAUCAUGUGUUUCUUGUAACGCCUUUUCCAUUGUAUUGAUCUGUCUAAUUGCUACAUAUGGAAACAAGAGGAGACCUACUAGCAGAAAACUUCUGGAAGCAUGUGAAAAGCUAAUAUGCAGCCACAUGUGGACAGUUUUGGGGGCAGCAAGACUGGAGAGAAAUUAAAAAGGGCUGUGAGAGGUAUAGCAGAGGGACAUGGAACUAUGCCCAGGGUCAACAAGCAAGGGAAGGAAGGGUACUCAGCAGCUGUUAUUUAUUCACAAAGAAGAAACGCUAUCUCUGAAAAAACUGCUGUGGUCCAGUCUGUGUUAUUUACUUCACCGAUACCAUGGGCUGGGAGAAGCAGCACAUUACAACUGUUGUUGUCAGCAUCUCCUCCAGAAGACGUAACGUAUAGUCUCUAUGCCCUGUGGAAUUCUGGAGAGUGCAUGCUUUCAUCGGAGACUUCACAAAGCAUUCACAACAGGACUCUUUCCCAGGGAUACUGGUUCACAGAUGCUCUCUUUCAGCCAGCCUUGUAUCAUCAGAUUUUUUGCAAACCUGAGCCUAAGGACAUGUGAUCCUGAAUCACUUCCACUGAAAUGCCCUAGGAUUGUUUUGAGACAAAAGCUUGGCUCAUGGUGGCUUUUCUCAGAAAAGCAAGCAGAGGGGAGCUGUCAUGAGCCAUGUUUUACUGCAGUGCUUUGUUGGUCUGUCUGUCUGUAUAAUUUCAAAAUUGCUGAUUCAUCUCCAGGCUUUGAAACUAGUGACUCCAAACAUGGCCCUUUUCUAACUUUGGGAACAUUUUUUCAUGGUAUGUAGAUAAAUGACAUGUUAAUGUAAAUUGUCAGGCUCAGCCUAGAGUUAAUCUGUUUUGCUGUAUGGAAGGCAAAACAAGAAAAUUCCUUCAAGGCUGUUCCUCAGAUUUAGCUCCAGUUGCAUUCUCUCUGUUCCUGCCAAAAUGUGAGCAAUGGUCAGAAAAAAUUGUUCUUCAGCAUGGGGGAGUCAAACAGCUAAUGAGCAAAACCAAGCCCAUCCCUCUGCGAUCUAAACCAAUGCACAAAGAUGGCUCUGAGAGAGCGCUCUGCAAGCUCCUUCCUGUUUGCUAUAGGUUGCACAGUUGGAUACCCUAAUUGAGAAAGGCUAGAUGCAUCACUAGUGAAAAAAGUCUCUCAUCACUGGGAUUUGCAUACGGUAGCAUGACAUUGUGCAGCCACGCAAGAAAUUGUAGUGCAGAGGCCUUGUUUCUGUGGUCAACUUAAAGAAGCUGACAUGAUAUUCAGUAAAAGCACAGUAUGGGAAGUUUACCUCAGAGGUAUGGGUUUCUGAACUACUGCAUACCCAUGUGUGGGGUUUGCUUACAUGAGAGCAGGUUCAAAUCAGAAUGAGCGAAACAAGAGACAAGUCCAUUUAAUUUUGAAUUUCACUGUGCUCUAGAUAAUGUGUAGGGGCUCAUCUGUUUUCCCCCACAGUGCUCAGGACAAACUGUAACUGCCUGUAAGUGUUUCUAGUUAUAGAAAGCAAAAAUCUUGCAAAAUCCCAUCUUAGCUAUUUACAAGUAAGAUUCUGGAUGGAUACACCUGUCAUUUAAUCAGACAUUUAGCUGUGUUUAGAAUAACAUCUGUGUUUUGAAGCAGAGGUAAAAAAAAAAAACUAUAUUAAUGUCCUUUAUAUAUACAUGUUGUUAAAUGUGUAUAUUAGCUGCCACUGAAACGAGUACUUGAAUGUGGAUGUGACAAAUCUGUCUUUGGUAAAUAAUUCAGGUCAUCUAAGCUGAUCUCAACUAAGAUUGGACUUAUGUCCAGGUACUGAACUUCCCUUUCCUGUGUUUUCAGAUCACUGUAAUUUAAUAUUCCAGGAUGCACAUGAUUUACCAAGCAAGAAAACCUAUUUGUUAUUGAGACCAAUAAUUUUAAGAUACCACUGAAGGAUACAGGUUAUUCUUUUCUGAAAAACAGAAUUAAUGCAGUUCUUCAUUUCUGAACUGAAGAGUUCCUUAUUUUCUCUCUUACAUAACCACCCACAUUUAAAAGGAUGGAAAAAUAGGAAAGUGGAAGAAUAAAACUUUGUGCUUACUGUUUUGGAGACGGUAUCCUUGCCAGAUGACUCAGAAUUCAAGGUACUGCUCACUUGGCAUUGCAAACUGAAAGUCAAGUACUAACUUCAAUAAUGUGAAAGAGGAGACAAGACUGAAUUGAAAUGCAUUGCCUGGAAAGUGAGGUGGACCUGUUUAGUUGUACCCUGACAACCAAUACCAUCACUAUUACAUGCUCUUUCUACGCAUUCCUCCAAGAGAUGCAUCCUGUAACACAGAUAUGGAGCAUGAAAGGAAAAGCAUGCCUAAAAAUUGUAAUAAUGAGAAGAGGGAGGAGAAAUUUCGAAUGGUUAGUCUAUUGGCUUUCUUCCAUAGCCUGCAGUUAAAUAUUUAAUGCUCUAGCUAAGUUACCUGUGAAGUUAGAGUUCUGACUGGACAGUAUGAUGAUGCCCUGAGAGAAAACAGAUUUUGGCAUUAUUUCACAUGAAAUCCUUGGAAUUAACUGGGGAAACAUGGUCCUUAGGAAACUGAGUUGAGAGAAAAAUAGAUUAUCUCAAGAUAAGCUGAUAUCUGGAUGUUGUUCUCAAUGUUUCAGCUUAAAAACAAGAGCAAGUUGGAUUCCUCAUAGGUUGUUUUUGGGGGUUUUUAAUUUUUUUAAACAACGAAUGAAGGAAUCUGAUCUCUGGCCUUUGGAUAUACAGUAAAAAUCUGAGUUCACUGGGUGUUUUUGGUCAGUAAGCUUAAACUGAAACUAUAGCGGUAGGGAUGGAUACUAGGAAGAAAAUCUAAAAUAAAAGAUGAUAAAAUACUGUCUUAGCUGUGGAGAUGUUUAAGAAUAGGAAAAACAUCAGGAAUGACAAGAACUGAGCACAUGCUAUGUAACUUUCUGAAGUGCUUUUCAAAUUUCUUGUUGUAUAGUGCAGUAAAUUACACAUGAAGGAUACAUUUGAAAAGCUAUGUACAAGUAGUACAUUUAUGGAAAGUUAACUUCUAGUUAGCUGAACCAAAAGUGAAGGCUUCUUCUCUGAAGAGUUUGGAGAAUACUGAAUUGAUAAUGAUGUACUGAGUAAUUCUUUUCUACUGCACCAUCAAAUUAACAUGACUGCAUCUGUCAGCCAUAUGCCAUUCCAGUCUUUCCUGUCCCAAUUUCAUUAAUAGCACUGGGCCGGACUGGGCAGAAUUCCUGUUUGUGUAGGCAGGUGACCUGUCUCAUUAAUGUCGUCUUGCUUUCUGUUUUAGUGAGUUUAAACUCAAUAGUAUGACACUUCAAAAUCAUGUAUUUCAAGAGUUCCUGGGUGGCAGAAAUAAAAAUGCACUGUUUAUUUUCAGUCUCCUGCCUCUGGCACCUUACGGAGACCAUGUUUAUGCUGUGUUCCCCCUGUCUUAUUUGUUCUGAACCAUGUCCCACACAGCAGGGCUGCAAAUCCUAGGAGAAGCUGCUGUAAUACAGACAAUGAUCUCAGCUGACAUGAAUAUGAACUCUGUGUUUUGUCUGAAAAUAAUUAUUCUAGUGAAUUGAUCCUCUAGUGAAGUGAUGGCUUGACCUUCCUGUGCUGAAUUAUUCCCUUAGAAAACUGUGGGACACAUGCAGGAAGCUGUUUUUUGUAAGGCUGGAUGAUGGUUCAGAGAUAUGUGAGGUGAUUGUUCUCUGGCAGAAAGAAAAUCUCAGUGACACAGAUAUGGUAAUAAAGACCCUUGCUGCUUUAAUGAAAAGGCACCUAAAUGCUGCUGUGUUAAGAAAGCUUUCAGAAGACAAAACCAAGGCUAUCUAAUACAGACAGCUGAACAGUCUGCAUACAAGUGCAGUUUUGGUAUGUGGAUGGGGGCUGUUGUGUCUGAAAUAGUAAAUAAUUG